rnacentral:misc_RNA from 1 species
GAUGAAGAACGCAGUGAAAUGCGAUAAGUAAUGUGAAUUGCAGAAUUCAGUGAAUCAUCGAAUCUUUGAACGCACCUUGCACCCUUUGGUAUUCCGAAGGGUAUGCUCGUUUGAGUGUCAUUGUACUCUCACACUUCUAAUUCCUUUCGGGAUUGGGAGCGGUGGACUUGGGUGUUGCUGCUUUAGUUGUGGCUCACCUCAAAUAAGUUAGUGCAACUCUUGGUUGGACAUAGUACGGCGUGAUAAGUGUCUUCGCCGGCGCCUCCGUAAGGAGGGUGGCCGAUCGGGAGCUCUGUGCUUCAAACCGUCUUCGGACAAUCUUUGACAACUUGACCUCAAAUCGAGUAGGACUACCCGCUGAACUUAAGCAUAUCAAUAAGCGGAGGA